rnacentral:rRNA from 1 species
GAUGAACGCUGGCGGCGUGCUUAACACAUGCAAGUCGUACGGUAAGGCCCUUUCUGGGGUACGCGAGUGGCGAACGGGUGAGUAACACGUGAGUAACCUGCCCACAACUUUGGGAUAACGCUAGGAAACUGGUGCUAAUACUGGAUAUGUGCUCCUGCUGCAUGGUGGGGGUUGGAAAGCUCCGGCGGUUGUGGAUGGACUCGCGGCCUAUCAGCUUGUUGGUGGGGUAGUGGCCUACCAAGGCGGCGACGGGUAGCCGGCCUGAGAGGGUGACCGGCCACAUUGGGACUGAGAUACGGCACAGACUCCUACGGGAGGCAGCAGUGGGGAAUAUUGCACCAUGGGCGCAAGCCUGAUGCAGCAACGCCGCGUGCGGGAUGACGGCCUUCGGGUUGCAAACCGCUUUCAGCAGGGAAGAAGCUUUUUGUGACGGUACCUGCAGAAGAAGCACCGGCUAACUACGUG